rnacentral:rRNA from 1 species
UACGUAGGGUGCAAGCGUUGUCCGGAAUUAUUGGGCGUAAAGAGCUCGUAGGCGGCUUGUCACGUCGACUGUGAAAGCCCGGGGCUCAACCCCGGGAGGCCAGGGGAUACUGCAAGGCUGGAGACAGGUAGAGGCUGGUAGAAUUCCGGGUGUAGCGGUGGAAUGCGUAGAGAUCCGGAGGAAUACCUGAGGCGAAGGCGGCCAGCUGGGCCUGAUCUGACGCUGAGGUGCGAAAGCGUGGGGAGCGAACAGG